GUUAUGGCAGCUCUUCACAUGCGCAGGCUUCAUGUGAUGCUGCGACAGAUGACUACAUUCAGGAUCCAGACACGAUUAUGCAUUCUACUGGACCUGACAGCACCAUCGAUACAUGUCAUCC